rnacentral:rRNA from 1 species
CUACGGGCCGCUGCAGUGGGGAAUAUUGCACAAUGGGCGCAAGCCUGAUGCAGCCAUGCCGCGUGUAUGAAGAAGGCCUUCGGGUUGUAAAGUACUUUCAGCGGGGAGGAAGGGAGUAAAGUUAAUACCUUUGCUCAUUGACGUUACCCGCAGAAGAAGCACCGGCUAAGUCCGUGCCGGCAGCCGCGGUAAUACGGAGGGUGCAAGCGUUAAUCGGAAUUACUGGGCGUAAAGCGCACGCAGGCGGUUUGUUAAGUCAGAUGUGAAAUCCCCGGGCUCAACCUGGGAACUGCAUCUGAUACUGGUAAGCUUGAGUCUCGUAGAGGGGGGUAGAAUUCCAGGUGUAGCGGUGAAAUGCGUAGAGAUCUGGAGGAAUACCGGUGGCGAAGGCGGCCCCCUGGACGAAGACUGACGCUCAGGUGCGAAAGCGUGGGGAGCAAACAGGAUUAGAUACCCGUGUAGUC